rfam:Oryctolagus cuniculus chromosome 13, whole genome shotgun sequence.
CCAAAGGCUCUUUUCAGAGCCCUAAAAAAAAUAGUUUCAGUUUCUGG